GUCGAGCGGUAACAGGGGGGGCUUGCUUCCCGCUGACGAGCGGCCGACGGGUGAGUAAUGCAUAGGAAACUGCCCAGUAGUGGGGGAUAGCUCGGGGAAACCCGGAUUAAUACCGCAUACGCCCUUUGGGGGAAAGCAGGGGAUCUUCGGACCUUGCGCUAUUGGAUGUGCCUAUGUCGGAUUAGCUAGUUGGUGGGGUAAGAGCCUACCAAGGCGACGAUCCGUAGCUUGGUCUGAGAGGAUGAUCAGCCACAUCGGGACUGAGACACGGCCCGAACUCCUACGGGAGGCAGCAGUGGGGAAUAUUGGACAAUGGGGGCAACCCUGAUCCAGCCAUGCCGCGUGUGUGAAGAAGGCUUUCGGGUUGUAAAGCACUUUCAGUGAGGAGGAAAACCUUACGAUUAAUACUCGUGAGGCUGGACGUUCUCACAGAAGAAGCACCGGCUAACUCCGUGCCAGCACCCGCGGUAAUACGGAGGGUGCAGGCGUUAAUCGGAAUUACUGGGCGUAAAGCU
rnacentral:rRNA from 1 species